CCCAGCUACUCAGGAGGCCAAAGCAGGAGAAUCACUGCUUGAGGCCAGGAGUUCAGACCGGCCUGGGCAACAUAGGGAGAAACCAUCUCUCCAGAAAAAAAAAAAAAGAGGAAGGAAUGACCCAAAGACCAUGCAUCCUGUGAUGCUGUGGAGGCUCCAAGCAGGCGAACACAGGACAGGCCAGCAUCUUGCAGGGACGCGGCGGGGGGUACCGUGUGUGCGUGCGUGUCACGCCCCGUGCAUGUGUGUGCAUAAGCUCCCCGGACACAUCCGGGGGUGUGGGUCCUGCGGGCUGCCUGUGCGCCAGGGAGGGGAGUCAGCAGGAGAGAGACUGUACGUCGUGCCUGCCUUUAAGUUCCCUGAAUUUUAAACCCUGUGGUUUUAUCACCUGUUAAGACAAAAAUCUCAAAAUGACUGUGUUUUCUGCCUCCUGGGU
rnacentral:sRNA from 1 species